GACGAACGCUGGCGGCGUGCUUAACACAUGCAAGUCGAACGGAAAGGCCCUGCUUUUGUGGGGUGCUCGAGUGGCGAACGGGUGAGUAACAUGUGAGUAACCUGCCCUUGACUUUGGGAUAACUUCAGGAAACUGGGGCUAAUACCGGAUAGGAGCUCCUGCUGCAUGGUGGGGGUUGGAAAGUUUCGGCGGUUGGGGAUGGACUCGCGGCUUAUCAGCUUGUUGGUGGGGUAGUGGCUUACCAAGGCUUUGACGGGUAGCCGGCCUGAGAGGGUGACCGGCCACAUGGGGACUGAGAUAGGGCCCAGACUCCUACGGGAGGCAGCAGUGGGGAAUAUUGCACAAUGGGCGGAAGCCUGAUGCAGAAACGCCGCGUGCGGGAUGACGGCCUUCGGGUUGUAAACCGCUUUCGCCUGUGACGAAGCGUGAGUGACGGUAAUGGGUAAAGAAGCACCAGCUAACUACGUG
rnacentral:rRNA from 1 species